UACGAAGGGUGCAAGCGUUACUCGGAAUUACUGGGCGUAAAGCGUGCGUAGGUGGUUUGUUAAGUCUGAUGUGAAAGCCCUGGGCUCAACCUGGGAAUUGCAUUGGAUACUGGCAGGCUAGAGUGCGGUAGAGGGUAGUGGAAUUCCCGGUGUAGCAGUGAAAUGCGUAGAGAUCGGGAGGAACAUCCGUGGCGAAGGCGGCGAUCUGGGGAAGAUACUGACGCUGAGGUGCGAAAGCGUGGGGAGCAAACAGGG
rnacentral:rRNA from 1 species